rnacentral:rRNA from 1 species
CUACGGGAGGCAGCAGUGGGGAAUAUUGCACAAUGGGCGCAAGCCUGAUGCAGCCAUGCCGCGUGUAUGAAGAAGGCCUUCGGGUUGUAAAGUACUUUCAGCGGGGAGGAAGGGAGUAAAGUUAAUACCUUUGCUCAUUGACGUUACCCGCAGAAGAAGCACCGGCUAACUCCGUGCCAGCAGCCGCGGUAAUACGGAGGGUGCAAGCGUUAAUCGGAAUUACUGGGCGUAAAGCGCACGCAGGCGGUUUGUUAAGUCAGAUGUGAAAUCCCCGGGCUAAACCUGGGAACGGCAUCUGAUACUGGCAAGCUUGAGUCUCGUAGAGGGGGGUAGAAUUCCAGGUGUAGCGGUGAAAUGCGUAGAGAUCUGGAGGAAUACCGGUGGCGAAGGCGGCCCCCUGGACGAAGACUGACGCUCAGGUGCGAAAGCGUGGGGAGCAAACGGGAUUAGAUACCCCCGUAGUC